UACGUAGGGGGCAAGCGUUGUCCGGAAUCAUUGGGCGUAAAGAGCGUGUAGGCGGCCAGAAAAGUCCGCUGUGAAAACUCGAGGCUCAACUUCGAGCUGUCGGUGGAAACUUUCUGGCUAGAGUCCGGAAGAGGCGAGUGGAAUUCCCGGUGUGGCGGUGAAAUGCGCAGAUAUCGGGAGGAACACCAAUGGCGAAGGCAGCUCGCUGGGACGGUACUGACGCUGAGACGCGAAAGCGUGGGGAGCAAACAGG
rnacentral:rRNA from 1 species